AUAGAAACAUUUAAAUAUAUAAAGGGAAUCAACACAGUAAAGGAGGAGACUAUAUUUAAAAGAAGAAAAACUACCACAACAAGAGGACAUAGUCUUAAAUUAGAGGGACAAAGGUUUAAAAAUAAUAUCAGGAUGUAUUACUUUACUGAGAGGGUAGUGGAUGCAUGGAAUAGCCUUCCAGCUGAAGUGGUAGAGGUUAACACAGUAAAGGAGUUUAAGCAUGCGUGGGAUAGGCAUAAGGCUAUCCUAACUAUAAGAUAAGGCUAGGGACUAAUGAAAGUAUUUAGAAAAUUGGGCAGACUAGAUGGGCCGAAUGGUUCUUAUCUGCCGUCACAUUCUAUGUUUCUAUCCAACAUCCAGUCGCUGUAAUCCACUAGGAAACGGGAAUUCCAAUCUGUUACUGUAUUGGAAAGGCCGGGAAGGUAUUCUGCUCGUAACGUUAUGUUUCGAUGGAGGCAAAAAUGCCAUAAUUCUUUGACAAUGUCCGCCAGUUGCUUGGAUUUUGCACCUCCUAAGCGAUUUAUAUAUUGGACUGCUGAUAUGUUGUCCAUCUUGAGAAGGAUACAACAAUAGGAUUUGUGUUUUGCAAAACUGCGUAGAGCGAAAAACCCUGCCAUGAGUUCCAGGCAGUUUAUAUGCAUAUUCGUCUCUUCUAGAGACCAUUUGCCUCCUGUGGAAUUGCCUCCACAACGGGCUCCCCAGCCUAAUCGACUUGCGUCGGAUUCUAUAGUUAGGUCUGGGAAUGACGUGAAAAUGGCUUUCCCGUUCCAAAUUUGAACAUGAUCUAACCACCAGGAUAGUUCUGUUCUUGUCUCUGAAGUUAGAGAAAUCUCUUCUGAAUAGAGGAGACCGUUGCGUAGAUGUUCUCUUUUCAAUCUUUGAAGAGCCCGAUAGUGAAGGGGGGCUGGAAAGAUAGCCUGGAUUGAGGCUGAUAAAAGACCUACAAUCCGUGAAAGACCUGAUGGAAAUUAAUUCCUUCUUCAGAACUGACCUGAUCUCUUUUCAAAUCGUUUUCAAUUUCCGUGAUGCAAGGCUGAGAGUGGCUAAAUUGGAAUUCACUAGAAAUCCUAAAAAUUCUAUCUCCUGAGAGGGAGUUAAAAUCGAUUUUUCGUAAUUUAUUACAAAGCCAAGGCUUGUUAACAGAUUCAGUGUCCAUUGAGAAUGUAGGUAAAGAGUUUGCACACUCUGUGACAUAAUCAAUAUGUCGUCUAGAUAGAUUAUCUUUCUUAGUCCCCUGCUUCGAAGUAGGGAUAUUACUGGUUUGAGUAAUUUGGUGAAACACCAAGGUGCAGAGGAUAAACCAAAUAGCAAUGAUUUGAAUUGCCAUUUCUUCCCUUGCCAUAGGAACUGUAAAUAUUUCUGACAUGAGUGGUGAAUAGGUACCGUGAGGUAUGCAUCUAUGUAUAGAAAACAGUAGCAUAAGUGAAUAUAUAAUAUACUUAUCUCUACUGGAGCAGCAAAGAAAGAGGGAGAAUAUUGGGGAUCAUUCACUAUAUAUACUAUGCUGGAUGCUGAUUGGCUACCAAUGUUCCAUUUCAGUUACUCUGUUAUUUUUAUCUUUUUUAUUCACUAAACUUUAUUGAAAAAAUGUCUUUGCUGCUAGAGUUAAGUAAAGAAAGUUAAUGCAUAAUACGAGCCUCCUGUCUUGUUAUAAAAUUUAGAUUUGUAUCUGCUUACAAUUGACACUCUGUUGGUAAAUGACUUAAAAAUUAAUACAAAGUAACUAUCUGUAUAUAUGUUUCCAUUUUAGGUUCAGCUAAAUUGCCAAUAUAGUCUACAUUUCUGAAUGAACUGGUACAGUAUAAGGUUAAGUGUGGUCCUACAAUUUGAAAAAUUAUAUAACUAUUUGGAAUUAUGAAUUUACUGGUAGUAGUUAACAUCAUACAUGAAGAGAUGUGGUAGGCACACAGAUGGUGGAAGUACAAUACUGUUGGUUUGACCAACCACACCAAACAUAACAGAAAAUAGAAGACAGAAAUAUAAAGUAUGCACAUUUUAUACGUUUUAAAAACCUAUAUAAGGACACAAACAAAAGAACUCUAUUUAGACAGACAGACAAUCAAAAGAAUACCAGAGAACAAGGAUGUCCAAAAAUAUGGGCUUCAAAUUUUUGUAAUAAAAAACUAGAUCCGCAUACGGGAGUUGUAGUUCUGCAGUAGCUUUAUGGCCACCAUGCAGGAAAAGUGCUGACAUUAUAUUAUAUUUUGAAAUGCAGCACUUCUUGACCCAAUAAUCAAUAUCAGUAGUCUAGAAAAAUAUUGCAAGUUUCAACCAAAGCAAAUAAUUGCUGAACAAAGACAAAUAAUGCAAAAUAUUUUAAACUUAUCUCAGAGAAGAGACAUGUACAGAUGGGAACAAACAGUCUGGAAAGUUAGGUAAAAAACAAUGCAAAGAUGUUAAUUAAAGUGACAUUAUAGUCACCCAGACCACUUCAGCUCAAAGAAGUGGUCUGGGUGCCAGGUCCCCCAGGUUUUAACGCUACAGCUGUAAACAUAGCAGUUUCAGAGAAACUGCUAUGUUUACAUUGCAGGGUUAAUCCAGCCUCUAGUGGCUAUCUUCUUGACAGCAGGAGGGGGACCCUAAGGGUGAGGGGGACACACACACCUAAGGGUUAUAUAGUGUCAGGAAAAUGAGUUUGUUUUCCUGACACUCUAAUGAUCCUUUAAAAUACAAAUCUGUGUUUAAAUGGAUGGGAAAAAAAUAUUAUAAACAAUAGAAUACAGAGAGUUGUCAAUGAAAAUUUAUUAAAUGGGUACUAUAAGUACUAUAGCUAUUACAACCAGUCACAGUGGUUAUGGUGCCCACAGGCCGCUAACACAGAUCCUUGGUUAUAUGUCAAAUGGUUUUCGAAUGGUGUGAUACAAACCAAGGGUGCCUGUGACAUGGCCUCUCGCCAUCCAUGUCUCUAUCUUGGCAGUUACAUUACCACAUUAGUAAUAUCAGUUUUGUGUCAGUUAAAAGACUAAGCUGAUGAAUGCCAUCUAAACCUGAAAAAAAUGUAUUUGCUUAUUCAGAAGUGUAGUGAUAUGGACAGUGAGGAACUGAGCCUCAGGUGCCUGGGUCUAACUGUUCAAAAAUGAUUUGACACAUAACUGGGUGAAAACACCAGGGGCAUGCUCUCACCAUAACUGCAACAGCGUACUGCAAUGAUUAUGGUGCUUAGUGCUCAUGUAAAUUAGACAAAAGUGGUAGGUGACUUUUGAUUUCUGCAAUGAUUUUGCAUUGAAUAUAAUGCAUGCCAAUAACCUACCUUGGUAACAUGAUGCACUCUAAAUUGGAUUUUAAUUCUCUACAGAGGGAUUUAGAAUAAAAAGAGACUGGGCAGGCAAGUGACAGAUUACAAGUUACAUUACAUAAUGUUGCUUUAAGGAUAUUUUUUGAUGAUAAUUAUAAAUUAUUUACAACAAACGUGUUAACAAUAAACAGUAUCAGUCAGAGAUUGAAGGCUAGUAAAACACUAAUUUUUAAAAAACUGUAUUGACUUUCAAGAAGAAAAUAUUAUUUUGCUUUUUAUAUAUUUAGAAAAUCACACCUUUGGUAUGUAGUGCAGUGUUUGACACCAUUAAAAAAAAUACAUGGAUUGUAAAAUAUGUAGUACAAAAUUAUUAAGGGGAAUUAAUGACUUAUUAUGAAAAAGUUAAAUUUUUCUAAACUAAAAAGAAAGUCUUGAGUAGGACAUGAUAACAUUCUUGAUCAAUGCAAACAGCUCCUGACCUGUUAACAGAACUGUACAUUUUUUAGAUUGUAAGCCUUUUGGCAGGGCUCUCAAAACCUACAAGAGCAAUUUAUUUCUGCGCGUUAGAAUAAACCUUUGUUACAUCAUUUAACAAUCCGCAAUGCAGACUUUGUCAGCACUUUACAAACAACUAUAAUUAUAAAGGCCACAAGGCCAUCUUGUAAGGCUUGAUUAAAGGACAUGAAAACUCCAAGUGGAAAGGUUUAUAUGGUAAAAAUAAUGAAGAUAUGGAAUGUACUGUCAGAAGAGGUGGAGCUAUCAAAUACAACAUAUGACUUUACGAAAGAGCUCAGUGCUUGUUAAGUCAAACAGUGAAUACAGGGCUAUAACGAUAAACAUAUAUAGUAUUAUAGCACUUUAUAAACAGGAAUUAACUUUACAUUAAAUGAUACAAGAUGUAGAGUAUGACUAUAAUUGCUUACAAGUGUUUGCAAAAUUUAAGAUAAUAUGGUAUCAACCUUCUCUAUCAAUUGUAGGUGGACAGGAGUGAGAUUGGAAAACCACGCAAGAGGGUGUUGCACUCAUCAAGACUGUAGAGAAGGGAACAUAUCUAGAUAAGGAUCUAUAUUUUUCAUAAAAACAAUCAAGUAAGUCUUGCCUUUGCUGGGUUCUUUUUAAAUUGUUAAAAUACUCAAUUUAAGAAGUUGUUCUCCAUUAGAAGAUACCAAGCAAGCUGGCAAUAUAACUUUGAGCAUAGGGUAACCAAAUUUGUGAAGUUUGUGUACAAGAGUCCUGCCUUGUGUUAAAAAAAUCUUUGUUUAUUAACGGAAAUAAAAUGUGCACUCUAAAUAAAGAAUACUUUACAAGUGACCUUGCGUGUCAGUCAGUUGUGUAAGAAGUAUGCAAGUGUCAAACGUGAUUAGAAAUGACCAGAUUUUACUAAUUUCAUGAUGUAAAGUCAUGAUUUUAUUAAGGACACGGAGGCUCAUAUUAUGCUUUAUCUCUUUCUUUAUUCCUCAGCAGCAAAGAAAGGAUACUGUAAAUAUACAAAGGAAAAAAGUUAACAUGUACCUUAGAGGGUUAACCACACUAUAACAUCUUAUCCAAUAGGAAUGCUCCUUGUACUAUAAUGUCCCAUGUGACCUUCAGCCAAUCAUCUUUCUUAAUGAUGCCUAUGAAUAUCUCCACAAGACUGCAAUGUACGACCAACUAGAUGCGAUAACUUAGCGGAUAACUUGCAAUCCUCUUAUUGAACGUAUAUUGAACCAAAUAGGAGGCUGUAAAGACAGAGAAAUAAGUGGUAAAAUAUGCUCUUGGAUAUUCAAUCUUAUCCACAAAGUAUCAAGUAUCAAUAGUAUAUCUGAUUCGUCAACAUUAACGUCAACAGAAAUUAGUCAAUUAGGUGAACAAUAACAAUACCCGAAAAAGACUGCAUACUUCUUGUAAAAAUAAUACAUAUAACCCAGGGAGGGUGUAACAUACCUGUAUCUGGUGAGAUAAUACUCUGUAUCCUUAAUAAAAUCAUGACUUUACGCCAUGAAAUUAGUCAAAUCUGGUAAUUUUAUUAAAGGACACGUAGGCUCAUAUUAUGCUUGUUCAAAGCUGUGCAACCAACCGUAGUGGAAAAAAUUUAACUGGACGAAAAUAGGAUUCCCGAAAAGUAGAUUCCAGGGACCAAUCAGCAGCAUGGAGGAGGUCUUCUAGCCUGCAGCCUAAGGUGAAGGCUUUAGAUGCCAUAGCGCCUCGACAGAGUGUGCUCCAUAUGUGGAAGUGUCAAUGUCAGCCGACGUCAUGAUCCAUUUGACCCAACGAGAUAAGGUAAUUGUAGAAACAGUUUGAUGUGAGCAUUGAAGGGCUAGAAAUAAAUCAGCAUAUUGAGGCUCAUGUACUGAGGAGGUGGUCUCCUCAUAUUCCUUAAGACAGGCCACUGGGCAGAGGUUAACAUUAUGUGCAAGAGCUGUAUAAAAGACCGAGCUAAUGGAUGUUUUCGUAUGUCUUGAAAUGACAAAGGAAACACCAUCUGGAGUAAAGGAACGUGCUGUAAUGUCCAGUGCAUGAACGUUUGAGACAUGUGUGCAGGAGAUGAGACAAAACAACAUGACUACUUUUUUCUGUGAGCUGCUUGAAGGCCUUUGUUUGAGGCCAAUUUUCAGAUAGUUGAAGUACGAGUCCCACCUGCCAUAUGGAGGUAUAUUUAGGAUGUGGAGGACGUGCAAACCUGAUGCCAUGAAGGAGUCGACAUACCAAAGAUGUUUACAUGCUGGAAAUCCGUUCCAACACUGGUGGCCUCCCGAGAUGGCUGAUCUAUAUAUAUUGAUCAUAUGGUAUGCUAGUUCCUGGUCCAAAGUUAAGUGAGGAAACUCAGAACAUGACUCACAGGUGCAGAUAUGGGAUCCAUGUGUUGUUCCAUGCACCAACCAUUCCAUGAGUCCCAGGCAUGGAGAUAGGAUUUCCUUGUUUCCUGGGCCCAAGCUAAUAGUAAUCUAUGGACAUUACUUUGAAUGUUGGGAAUCAUGGCUGAGCUGUCCAUAACGGGGUUUGAAGAUCAAGGAGGUCUGGUAACGCCUGAGAUGUAGAAGUGUCCGAGAAAUGAGAGAGAAGGAUGGAAAAGCGUAAUGACGACUACUCGGUCAUGGUUGCAGGAAGGCAUCUACUGCAAGAGCCUCUGGAUCUUGUCUUCAGCUGAAAAAUCUCAGUAGGUGGGAGUUCAAACGUGAUGUGAAUAGGUUGAUCUCCCAAGGGCCCCAGAGAGACUGCAAACAGAGAAGAAACGGAAGGGUUCAGCCGCCAAUCGGUGGCAUCCCGUAAGUGUCUGGAGUUCCAAUUUGCCAAUAUGUUGGACCUCCCUGGAAUGUACUCCGCUGGCACCGAGAUAUUGCGAUCCAGGCAGAAUUACCAGAAUUCCAUUGCUUGGUUUGCCAAAAUAGUUAACUUUGUGUCCCCGAGGUGGUUGAUGUACCGGACUGCUGAGAUGUUGUCCUUCUGUAAAAGCAAUUGGUUGGUACACCCAAGAGGCUCCGUAGGGCAAAUAAGCCUGCCAGCAGUUCGAGGAAAUUGAUAUGCAUUUCUUGUUCUUCCAGGCACCAUUUCCCCCCAGUGGAGGUAGGCCCGCAGCGUGCGCCCCCUAGCCGAGCGUACUUGCAUCUGAUUCUAUGAUGAAGUCUUGAGCGGUUCCCAAGAUUGGUUGACCGUUCCACGCCUCCAUGUAGCCACCACUGAAGUUCCUCUUUGGCUGUGCAGUCGAGAGGAACAGAGUCCGAAUAAGAAUGACGAAUGUGUUUGGCUUUCAGUCGUUGAAGUGUUCUGUAAUAGAGCGGGCCGGGAGAAAUGGCUUGAAUCAGUGCUGAGAGAAGGCCGAUGAUCCUGGCCAGCGGUCAGGAAAGGACAGGCUAGCGUCCGACGGAUUCAUUCUUUAUGGAUUUGAUCUUGGUGGGUGGUAGUAGGAGUGUCCUGGACAUUAAAUUCUAUGGAUUGAGAAGGUUUGAAGACCGACCUUUCCCAAUUGAAGGAAACCUAGGUUGCUCAGGAGAGUCAUCGUCCUGGACAGGUGUACGUGGCACUUGUGAGGGUCCUGUGCCAUUACGAAGAUAUCGUCCAAGUAUAAAUGAGGCGAACUCCUCUGCUGCGCAGAAGGGCCACUACUGGUUUCAGUAGUUUUAUGAAGCACCAUGGGGCAGUAGAGACACCGAAUGGAAGGCAUUUGAAUUGCCACAUGGUCUAUUCCCACCGUAAAUUGCAGGAAUUCUUGGUGAGUCCUCGGCCAUCGGAACGGUGAGGUAUAUAUCCUGUAAGUCGAGAUUGACCAUCCAAUCCUCCAAAAGGAGAAGGUCUCGAAGAAAGUGAAUACCCCUCAUCUUGAAAUGUUGGUAUAUGACAAAAACGUUUAGAGGUCGUAGAUUGAUGACAGGUCGAAUGCCUCCACCUUUCUUGGGGACUAGGAAGAGAUUGCUCAGGAAACCUGGGGUUUGAGGGUGAAUUUCCCCAUAGCUGAAAAAGUAGCUGGAGUCACUGAUUUCGCCAUGGUAGCAUCCAGGAGGGAAUGAAACUCUUCUGAAUUCAUUUUCUCCUGAGAUGCUUCAUCCAGCAUGGCAUGUGUGGGUGGACUGGCCACCAUCAGGGGCGUAGAGGAUUUCGUGACACUAGUGGAAGAACCGGCGACGGAAACUUACAACUCGUUUGGGACUGCAUGACAGUAAUAUAACGAAGUGCAUAUGGAAAUAUGAUAAAAAGUAAUGAGAAAAUUACCCUGAGGAUAGAGUAGGGAGCUCAUACCCACAGUGCUGGAUAACAGUACCAUAGUGGCAGUGAAAAAGAAUAUGUAGGCACUGACAGUAUUUAGCUGAAUAGCGGGAAGGCUCCUAGGCACAAUGACCAAAGGAAAACAGGCUCACUUAGAGUUCCCUCAGGAACACCGUUAGGUUGCCCAGCAACACAGCCAACCAAGCGGGUUAACCCCGCCCCCAAACAAGCGAUAUUGGCCACGGCAAAACUGCCAACCGCAAGAUGGGUGCUGCAAUGUGCUCUUGGGACCCACCGGGGCUGCUGAAAUAGCGGUACCCGGCAGUGAGAGAGUCACAGGUUCUGUGCAGGCAGAGGAAAUACGUCGGGAAAUAAACAACCCUACCAGAAGGCUGAGGGGAUAGCAAACUGUGGUGAGGGAAUGAGGGAGCCAGUAGGGCUCCCAGAGAAUACAAACAGUAGGAAACAAAACAGAAAAACAACAAAACACUGAAUAAACUAGGCAAAUACAGUGAUAUAUGGUAAAAAUUACUACAAUUAAUACAGAGACUGUUGGAGUGAUACUUAGCUGAGGAGGCAGCAGCAAAGAAAGAGGAUUGGCUGAAGGUCACUUGGGACAUUAUAGUACAAGGAGCAUUCCUAUUGGAUAAGAUGUUAUAUUGUGGUUAACCCUCUAGGGUACAUGUUAACUUUUUUCCUUUGUAUAUUUACAGUAUCCUUUCUUUGCUGCUGAGGAAUAAAGAAAGAGAUAAAAUAUAAUAUUAGCCUCCGUGUCCUUUAAUAAAAUCUCCUGAUGUACAAUAACAAAUGGCACAAUAAAGUAAAAUAAAAAGUUUUGCUAAUUACAAUCUAGAACUAGUUGUAAAAUGUUUGUAUGUAACUAACUAAAUGUAUGUAUUCCGAAGGUAAAAGUCCACUUCAGGCAGCUGGAGGGUCAAGUUGUACCUUACAGAGAACUACUGAAAGCAGUUUACAAGGACGAACAGCAGUCCAGAGAGAGUUAGGCAUUACAUAUUUGUGUUCUAAAGACUGUGCUCUUCGGAAGCUUGGGCUGGUUAAAAUAACACUAUCCAAGGUUUAUACAAAAAUAUUAUGCACUAUAGUUUUCUGCCCAUUAUCUUGUUCUUUUGUUUUUCCUGUUUAUACAUAUUCAAUUUAUUUAUUUAUUUAUUUCAAAUAAAAGCUUUCUUU